CUGAUUGGCCAGGGCUGUGUUUGAAUCAUGCUGGCUCUGCCCCGAUCUGCCUCUUUGUCAGUCUCAGCCAAUCCUAUGGGGAAGCAUUGUGAUUGGAUCAGACCACCACUUCUAAUGAUGUCAGCAGACUGCUUGUUUUUCUGAGUCUAACAGCAUGCAGAGUUACAGCUUCAGGCUUGAAUACAGUAAGAUUUAGCUAUAUUUAUGGAGGCAUGAGGGGCCCAGGGGGGCUAGAUGGUGGUGUUAACACUAUAGGGUCAGGAAUACAUGUAGUUGCACUGGUGACUAUAGUGUCCCUUUAACGUCUUUACUGAAACCUCCAUCAGCAAAGAAAUAUUUAACAGAACUUUUGCAAACAACCAAUCAGAACAAAAUAACAGCAGUAUAAAAUCCCUCAGUCAGAUCCUCCCACUUCCUCUUUCUUUGAGGCCGAGCAGGAGAGCAUAAAAAACCAACGAAUACACCUUGUAUCAGGCACAUCUAGAGAAGAAACUGGCAGAACCAGAGAGAACCCAGAUUACACUGCAAGGAACACAAACAUUGUGAAAGUAAACUGCCAGGGCAGAAUGCCAUACCAUAUACAUCAUCACUUCAACGGCACAGUACAUGCACACGGACAAUCACCAACGUAUAAUAGAAACAUAUUCAUUAAACAAACAGGAGACCAUACAUUACAAAAAACAUAACAUUAACAUAGAGAAAAAAACUAUUCCAAGGAGGGAAAUCUCAAUGAGGGAAAUAUUCGCCUCC